ensembl:antisense Gm13185 predicted gene 13185
GACAUCAAAGGCAAGGUAGGAAGAAAACAACAGAGCCAGCCUGAGGCCAGAACGGGAGAGCUUGCCCAAGCAUUUACUCAUCUUCAUGUUUCUCUCCUAAACACGGGCUGGGAGGCAGACCCUGACGCCCUGCGGCUGCCCUGAGGAGCCACAAGACAAACAAAGACAAGAGCACCUCAGCGCCCAGAAACUACUGCCUUGCUAUAAACAGUGGCCUGGGUAACCUGCCCCCUACACACCCAAUCCUGAAGCUGAUUCAACUUAAGAAGCUGAUUCAACUUAAGCCCCGGGCUGGCUAUCCAGCCACAGGCUGGCACAGGGAACUCUGCAAAUCAGACCGAGGAAAACAGCAACUGCCUUCCUAGCAAACAAGGAACACAGGCAGUGAGGAGCUAGAAUAAGCUGGCUACACCUCAGGUGCCAUGAUGUCUGCAAGGCAUAAUGACCUUUAUCCUUAGGGGAAUCGGAAGGAUGCUCACUGCCUACAAAACACUCCAGCACUGGGGUUCUGGCUCAGUGGUAGAAUCUUGCCUAGAAUAUGCAAGUAUCCAAAUUCUAUCCCCAAAACUGAAUAAAAAAAAAAUUUCAAAAUUCAGAAUGAGAGACAGCUCAGUGAGUACCCAUACUUGCAUGGAAACCUAACAACCUGAGUUCACAUCCCCAGAACCCAAAUACUUCCCACAACAAGGCCACAUCUAUUCUGUGGGGGUUUAAAAGUCCUGUUCCUGCCCCCCUCUGCCCCCAGCCUACAGAUGAGGAUGUAGAACUCUCAGCUACUUCUGCCUGUGUGCUGGCAUGCUCUUUACCAUGGUGAUAACAGACUAACUUCUGAAGCUGUAGAGCAAGCCCAUGAUUCGAUUCUUCGUUCCUAGGUGUUGCCUCAGUCACGGCCUUUUCAGAGCCACAGAACAGUACCUAAGACAACUCCCCGUGGUGCUCCACCC